rnacentral:rRNA from 1 species
GAUGAACGCUGACAGAAUGCUUAACACAUCAGCAAUUGAUUGGUGGCGGACGGGUGAGUAACGCGUAAAGAACUUGACUCACAGCUAGGGACAACAUUUGGAAACGAAAGCUAAUACCUAACACAGUGAGAGAGCUUUGCGGCCCAUUAGCUAGUUGGAGAGGUAACGGCGCACCAAGGCGAGGAUGGGUAGCCGGCCUGAGAGGGUGAUCGGCCACAAGUGGACUGGCACACGGCCCUUAGUCAGACGGGAGGAAGCAGUGGGGAAUAUUUGACAAUGGACCAAAGUCUGAUCCAGCAAUUCUGUUGGCACGAUGAAGUUUUCGGAAUGUAAAGUGCUUUCAUUUGGGAAGCGUUACCAACAGAAGAAGUGACGGCUAAAUACGUGCCAGCAGCCGCGGUAAUUC